GAUGAACGCUAGCUACAGGCUUAACACAUGCAAGUCGAGGGGUAACAUUUAGGAAGUUUGCUUCCUUUGAUGACGACCGGCGAAUGGGUGAGUAACGCGUAUCCAACCUGCCCCCGGCUGGGGUAUAACCCGUCGAAAGGCGGCCUAAUCCCCCAUGGUGUCUUCUGAGGUCAUCCGAUGAGGACUAAAGGUAUUUUUUUUCCGGCCGGGUGAUGGGGAUGCGUCCGAUUAGCUUGCUGGUGAGGUAACGGCUCACCAGGGCAUCGAUCGGUAGGGGUUCUGAGAGGAAGGUCCCCCACACUGGUACUGAGACACGGACCAGACUCCUACGGGAGGCAGCAGUGAGGAAUAUUGGUCAAUGGGCGCAAGCCUGAACCAGCCAAGUAGCGUGCAGUAUGAAGGCCCUAUGGGUCGUAAUCUGCUUUUAUGUGGGGAUAAAUUCAAUCACGUGUGAUUGUUUGCAGGUACCACAUGAAUAAGGACCGGCUAAUUCCGUGCCAGCAGCCGCGGUAAUACGGAAGGUCCGGGCGUUAUCCGGAUUUAUUGGGUUUAAAGGGAGCGUAGGCCGCCUCUUAAGCGUGUUGUGAAAACCGGGCGCUCACCGUCCGGCUUGCAGCGCGAACUGGGGGGCUUGAGUGCGUGCGACGCCGGCGGAAUUCGUCGUGUAGCGGUGAAAUGCUUAGAUAUGACGAGGAACUCCGAUUGCGAAGGCAGCUGGCGAGUGCGCAACUGACGCUAAUGCUCGAAGGCGCGGGUAUCGAACAGG
rnacentral:rRNA from 1 species